rnacentral:tRNA from 1 species
GGAGAGAUUCCCGUAGCGGCCCAACGGGGCCGGAGCUGAGCUUCGGCAGGGGUCUCGUACCCCCCGCAGGUUCGAAUCCUGCUCUCUCCGC